rnacentral:tRNA from 1 species
ACCGAAAUAGCUCAGUUGGGAGAGCGUUAGACUAUAGAUCGAAAGGUCUCUGGUUCGAUCCCAGGUACCGGCA